UGUUAACCGAAAGGUUGGUGGUUCGAGC
rnacentral:piRNA from 6 species